UCGAUCAAGUUGUUGCCAUGUCACCAAAUAAUGUUAAAUACACGGUGGUGGUCUUGUUUGGCCUUUUCCUGGUUAUCUUUGCCUUUUAUACUUCAUUAAACAAUGACAUCGACAAUAAGAUGCAAAAUCAGAAAUACUCAACGGAGGUCCUUCAUAUCACAUCUAGACGAUUGCACACUUUCAACUUCUUUGCGCCUGAUCUCACUGACGCAAAAAUUUCCACGGCUGAACACAUGAGCCAAGUAGAUUGCUCGGCUAUAAUAAAAGAGCCAAACUUCUGCGUCGGAAACCCCUUCUUCUGUAAAAGAGCUGAAUGGUAUAAGAAGAAAGGCAAGCCAAACGACGGCUUUCUUUGUACGCUGUUUACUGGAUCGGACAAGUGUGCCGUGCAUCAGUAUGCGGACUGGUACGAUUGGUUGUUUAGCGACCUGCGACAGGUGCCAAUGAGUGUCCUUGAAAUAGGAAUCGGUUGGGCCAGCCCAAACUUCGGUUUUUUAGGCACCAAAAGAGACUGGGUUUUCGGCACUUCUCAACGAGGCUGGAGAGAUUAUUUUUCCAACUCGCAGGUUUACGCUGCGGACGUCCAUAAUGAAUUGUUGUUCGAAGACGAGCGAAUCAAAAGUUUUUGGGUCGAUAUUUUGAACAAAAACACGCUCAAAGCAAUGAAAAACAAAAUUGGUACGCAGCUUGACAUUCUAAUUGACGACUCGCUUCACACUUUAGAAGGCCAGGAAUCAUUGAUAUCUGUGGCCUAGGAUUGGGUAAAACCGGGUGGGUUCUACAUAGUCGAAGACGUGAAAGCUAAAACAAUCUGCUCGGAUUCUCUACCUUCGCUUCUGAAGCGAGGCAUCAACGACUUCGCUUUUGUUCAGACGGAACCUGAAAUGACAGAUAGUGUGUUGCAAAUCAUCAGAAUACCGUAUACCAUCAAUGAAGCAAGCUAAAGUAACAAGUUGUCGGCAGCUCUGCUCAUUGUGAAACUGGGUAAAAAUUGAACUAAUAGCUAGCCUGCUAAUAAGUUUUGACAACAAAUAAUUAACUGCUAUCAAGUGAUUCAUUACCUGAUUUAAUUAUUCAUGUCA